GACGAACGCUGGCGGCGUGCUUAACACAUGCAAGUCGAACGGAAAGGCCCUGCUUUUGUGGGGUGCUCGAGUGGCGAACGGGUGAGUAACACGUGAGUAACCUGCCCUUGACUUUGGGAUAACUUCAGGAAACUGGGGCUAAUACCGGAUAGGAGCUCCUGCUGCAUGGUGGGGGUUGGAAAGUUUCGGCGGUUGGGGAUGGACUCGCGGCUUAUCAGCUUGUUGGUGGGGUAGUGGCUUACCAAGGCUUUGACGGGUAGCCGGCCUGAGAGGGUGACCGGCCACAUGGUGACUGAGAUACGGCCCAGACUCCUACGGGAGGCAGCAGUGGGGAAUAUUGCACGAUGGGCGGAAGCCUGAUGCAGCAACGCCGCGUGCGGGAUGACGGCCUUCGGGUUGUAAACCGCUUUCGCCUGUGACGAAGCGUGAGUGACGGUAAUGGGUAAAGAAGCACCGGCUAACUACGUG
rnacentral:rRNA from 1 species